UUUGUUGAUGUUCUCUCUCUAGAUUGAGACUCCGCCCUAGAUGCACGCAGGUAAUCAGCACUCAAUUCAUUGAUAGAUUAAGGUAAUUCAUUCCAAGGGGUAUAUUAAAGUGGUGUCACCGGAGAUUGCGUGAAUGUGCGACCGCGUUCUAGCACGUCAUUAUUUUUGCGACUGUCUGGUGCUCUGGCUGAGGUUCUGGGCUGUUUGCAGAAAAGCACUCGUUGUGCUGAGGGUUGCAUGCCUGGCAACCCGCGCUGGUUGCCGUAGACGACCGUUUCGGGUAUGAAUUGCAUUCAGCAUCGGGGGUGUAUUGCUGCUUGACUUCCUGCUUAUCAUGACUGUUCAUCUCUUGCCGACUGGACGAGUGGCGCGAUCUCCGCAUGUUUGGUAUGUGCCAGCAAUUGUACAAUAGUAAAUUAAUGCUAUGCAUAUUUUAGCUCAUAGUCAGGCUUUUGCAGGUGACUUGAUCUGCCGUUUUAAGGGCACUUGAAGACUACACUUACCGGCUCUAGGACUUGUCGUCGCUGCUGUUUUGUUCCCAUUACAAUUUCAUUUAGUUUUUUUUGUGUUCAUUCCUUUACCAACAUGCUUCAGUGCAGUUGCUCACGUCUGAGCACGUCUCCGCACUGCUAAUGUUUUAUUUUGUUUUUGUUGAGUGAUUUGGCUGUAUUAGUUGGGUGGGGGUAAUUAAUUAAUUUACAUUCUGUGUUUUUCUUGGGGUUGUUUUAUUAUUUGUGAUUUCGUUGAUGU